UUCGUUUUGGAAAGAAUAAAAAAGCCUUUGAUGAACAAGAAUUCAGGCAAGAUAUGAGUCAAUUUGGUG
rnacentral:sRNA from 1 species